rnacentral:rRNA from 1 species
AACGCGAAGAACCUUACCUGGGCUUGACAUGCCGCGAAAUCCUAUGAAAGUAGGCUUCCCCGCAAGGGGACGCGGACACAGGUGCUGCAUGGCUGUCGUCAGCUCGUGCCGUGAGGUGUUGGGUUAAGUCCCGCAACGAGCGCAACCCUCGUCUUGUGUUGGUCCGCAAGGAUCUCUCACAAGAGACCGCCGGUGAGAAGCCGGAGGAAGGUGGGGAUGACGUCAAGUCAGCAUGGCCCUUACGUCCAGGGCUACACACGUGCUACAAUGGGCCGGACAGCGAGCAGCGAGCUAGUGAUAGUAAGCCAAUCUCUUAAACCGGUCCUCAGUUCGGAUUGAAGGCUGCAACUCGCCUUCAUGAAGUCGGAAUCGCUAGUAAACGCAGAUCAGCUACGCUGCGUUGAAUACGUUCCCGGGUCUUGUACACACGC